UUCAAUAGUGAUUGAAUUGACGGGGGCCCGCCCAAGCGGGGGGGCAAGUGGUUUAAUUAGACGCAACGCGCAGAACCUUACCAGCCCUUGACAUGUCCAGGACCGGUCGCAGAGAUGUGACCCUCUCUUCGGAGCCUGGAGCACAGGUGCUGCAUGGCUGUCGUCAGCUCGUGUCGUGAGAUGUUGGGUUAAGUCCCGCAACGAGCGCAACCCCCGUCCUUAGUUGCUACCAUUUAGUUGAGCACUCUAAGGAGACUGCCGGUGAUAAGCCGCGAGGAAGGUGGGGAUGACGUCAAGUCCUCAUGGCCCUUACGGGCUGGGCUACACACGUGCUACAAUGGCGGUGACAAUGGGAAGCAAAGGGGCAACCCCUAGCAAAUCUCAAAAAA
rnacentral:rRNA from 1 species